AUGGCUGACAGGGCCAUGUUGCGCUCCUCUGGCUGCAAGGCCCGGGCGUCCCGCUCCUCCCGAAACGCCGCAGGUACUAAACAGACAAGUGCUUUGAAACGAGAAGAUGCUUCUAAAAGGAAAGCAGAACUAGAAGCAGCUGUGAGAAAGAAGAUUGAGUUUGAGAGAAAAGCUCUACAUAUAGUUGAACAGCUUUUAGAAGAGAAUAUUACAGAAGACUUCCUAAUGGAGUGUGAGAAGUUCAUCACACCUGCUCACUACAACGAUGUCGUGGAUGAACAUUCUAUUGUCAAACUCUGUGGAUAUCCUUUAUGUCAGAAGAGACUGGGAAUUGUACCAAAACAGAAAUAUAAAAUUUCCACAAAAACCAAUAAAGUCUAUGAUAUUACUGAAAAAAAGGCUUUUUGCAGUAAUUUUUGUUACCAAGCAUCUAAGUUUUUUGAAGCACAAAUUUCCAAAACUCCAGUAUGGGUUCGAGAAGAAGAGAGGCAUCCCGAUUUUCAGCUGCUAAAAGAAGGACAAAGCAGCCAUGCUGGAGAAGAAGUACAGUUAUGCAGUAAAGUCAUUAAAACAUCAGAUAUUGACAAGUCCAGCCAUUUUGAAAAGCAGUAUGAAUCUAGUUCUACUAGCACUCAUAGUGAUAGUAGCAGUGAUAAUGAGCAAGACUUUGUUUCCUCCCUUCUACCAGGAAACAGACCAAAUUCAACAAGUAUUAGGCCACAGCUACACAGAGAAAGCAUAGUGAAAAAGAAAGCUGGUCAAAAAGUUAAUUCCAAACUCAAAGACAAAGAACAGACUGUAGUAGGUGUCACUGAACAGUUAGCAAUUGCAGAUUAGAUAGGAGAAAGAUGUCGCAUAUGAACUUCCUUUGAAGAAAGUAAAUACUCAGAUUUCUUUAAGUAGUACUUUGCUUGAGAGAUCAAAAUCUUCUGAAAAUUCUGAUUAUAAAUACAGUAGGUCAGAUAUAACUCUAGUAGGCAUAAGUAAAAAAAGUGCUGAGCAUUUUAAGAAAAAAUUUGCCAAAUCAAACCAAGUUUUUGGGUCAGUCUCUAGUUCAGUGCAGGUGUGUCCUGAAGUUGCAAAGACCAACUUACUUCAAGUUUAGAAGGAGACUUUGAGUGGAAGACAGAAGAAACUUUGAGGUUUUUGUAUGGCCAGAAUUAUGCUUCUGUAUGUCUGAAACCCUCUUCAACCCCUAUGGUUAAAGAAGAACUUGAUGAGGAUGACAUAAACUCUGACCCAGAUAGUCAUUCCCCUUCCUGGAGGGAACCUCAGAACAGCUUGGAUGAGUCUUUACCUUUUAGUGGCUCAGAUACAGCCAUUAAACCUUUGCAAGUUAUGAGAACUUGAAAAAAGAAACUGAAAAAUUAAAUCUAAGGAUCAAGGAGUUUUAUAGAGGACGAUAUGUUUUGAAUGAAGAAACUACCAAAUCACAAGACUUAGAAGAGCAUGAUCCCACCUUUCCACAGAUAGAUUCAAGUUCCCAGAACCAAAUUAGAAAACACAUCGUACUUGAAAAAUUGAGUAAAGUAUUACCUGGACUUUUGGGUCCUCUUCAUAUUACCUUGGGAGAUAUUUACACAAAACUUAAAAAUCUUGUCCGAACUUUCAGGUUAACAAAUAGAAGUAUUAUACACAAACCUGCAGAGUGGACUUUAAUUGCUGUAGUGUUGCUGUCAUUACUGACCCCAACUCUUGGCAUUACGAAGCAUUCUCAGGAAAAUGAGAUGUUUACACGGUUUAUAGCCACCCUGCUGGACGAAUUACAUUUAAAGAAUGAAGACCUUGAAACUUUAACCACCAUAUUUAGAACCAGCUGUUAAACAAACUGAUAUAUUCCAUGAAGACAAGACCAGAAAAUGAACUUCUCUUCACCAUUUCUAGAAUUCUAGCCACCAUGAUUGUCUGGUGGUAACUGAUAACCAGCUUUUAUUUCAAGA